UUUUCAAUAAAUCCACUAUUAAUUUAGUAAUUCAAAUAGACAAAUCCGAUAUGUCCAAAUAAACAAAUUAGCUCAAUUAAAAGAUUUUCAAAUGUUCAUCGACGUCAAAGAAGGAUAAACAAACUAACUAACUAAUGAUUCUGGUACUCGCACUCUGCGUCCAUCCCAUCCAAAUCUAUGCAUCCUGCAACUCUGAUAAAAAGAAAGAAGAAAAAGUAGGUGAGCUCUACAGCCCAGUAAGAAUUCCUACACAUCCAUACCAACACAAUAAUAAUGAAUUUGAAAAUCCCAACAAAUCAAUGCACAUAUCAUAAGAUCAUAUACCGGCUAUCAAAAGCUCGAAUAAUCAGUAUAAAUAUGCAAGUCAAAUGUCAACAAAAAUCCAACCACUCAAGUGUGAUACGUCAUACGAUAUCUCAAAAUCUUCAAUUAUUGUUUUCAAUACUUUCCCUUUUCAUUCUCUGUUAACUUGAUCCGAAUCAAUUAUCCUUCCGACUUUGGACUACAUCCCGGUCACGUUUCCGGCCCGUGACGGGGCAAUCGAUAGUAUCACAUUUCCGACCUGUGACGGGGCAAUCGAUAGUAUCACAUUUCUAGCCUGUGAUGGGGCAAUCGAUAAGAUCACAUUUCCAGCCUGUGACGGGGCAAUCGAUAAUAUCACAUUUCCAGCCUGUGAUGGGGCAAUCAAUACUAACGAGAUAAGCCCAAAGUCUCUACUCAUUUAACCAAUUCACAUACACACAUCAAUUCCUUUUUCCAUCUUAUAUCUAGCCUAGACUAACCAUGAUCACGUUUCCGACCCGUGACAGGGCAAUCAAUAUAACAUGGUUAGUCCAUACCAUCAUAUCCAUAAAUCCAAUUAUGCAUGUAUAAGUUAUACACAUACAUGCAUCCAUCAUACUACCAAUCACAAGCCAACACAAUCAAAAUAUAAUUUAAUAUAAAACUAUUUUGCUUUGUCUGGAUCAUAGCAUAUCAAACAUAUAUAGUGCAAAAAUAUUUAUAUCAUGUAGGAUUGACGUACAAGAAUUCUUAUCCUUUGUUGAAAAACUAAGACAGACUAAUCACCCGCCCUCACGGCGAUCUAGGAACUGGGAUGCGCAGAACUCCGCUCAACGUCCUUUCGUUUAAUAGAUUGUUCUCCUGCAGAACCAAGACAAUAUUAAAAAUAAUCAUCCAAGAUAGAUGACAAUCCAUAACCCUCAAAAUUAUGAUCUUUCCAGAUCCAAGGUUAGGGAGAGAACCCCCAACUAGAGAGAGAAAAAAAAUAUAAUAAGAAAAGGAAAAGGGAAGAGAAGAAAUCUUCCUUUCUCUCUCUCUCUCUCUUCUUCAUUCUUCCCGAUGGAAAGGGGGAAGAUGCUUGGCAGCAAGCAGCCCAUGGCCGGCGAUGUCUCAUGGUCGCCGGCCCAUGGCNNNNNNNNNNNNNNNNNNNNNNNNNNNNNNNCCGGCCGGAAUGGAAGAGGAAAGGCAAACCGAAACAAGGGAGUUUGGCUCACAUCGAUCCGGCGGCUUGCCAGCCGGAUUCCCAAGGAAUAGUGGCCCACGGCCAAGAGACAGGAAGGAGAGGGACCUCACCUCACCUUCGGCGAGCUCCUCCGGCGUGCCCGACGGCAAACAACCCAAGCUUCUCACAGAUUUCCUUUUUCUUUUUUUUUUUGAAAGAGCUCUCGCUUGAUGCUCUAGGAGGAGAGGAAUAGAUUCUUUUAUAGAUAGAGAUUGAUGCAAAUUAGGUAAGAUUUGAUCUCCCUUUUCCUCUGUUUAUUUUUUUUCUUUCCUUCCGAUGGAUUCGGGGAGGAGUUGAAACAGGGGAGGGAAGACUCUGUUCAGGAGUCUCCCUCCCGUUUCAUGUGUGUCGGGCCA
rnacentral:lncRNA from 1 species